AGAGUUUGAUCAUGGCUCAGGAUAAACGCUGGCGGCGUGCCUAAUGCAUGCAAGUCGAACGAGGUAGCAAUACCUAGUGGCAAACGGGUGAGUAACACGUGGGAAUCUGCCCAAAAGUGGGGAAUAACUCUCUGAAAGGAGAGCUAAUACCGCAUGUGGUCGAAAGACUAAAGCAGCAAUGCGCUUUUGGAGGAGCCUGCGGCUGAUUAGCUAGUUGGUGGGGUAACGGCCUACCAAGGCAGUGAUCAGUAGCUGGUCUGAGAGGAUGAACAGCCACACUGGGACUGAGAUACGGCCCAGACUCCUACGGGAGGCAGCAGCAAGGAAUUUUCGUCAAUGGGGGAAACCCUGAACGAGCAACGCCGCGUGGGUGAAGAAGUCUUUCGGGAUGUAAAACCCUUUUCUCACCGAAGAAGGAAAGACGGUAGGUGAGGAAUAAGCAUCGGCUAACUACGUGCCAGCAGCCGCGGUAAUAC
rnacentral:rRNA from 1 species